UACGGGGGGGGGCAAGCGUUGUUCGGAAUUACUGGCGUAAAGGGCUCGUAGGCGGCCAACUAAGUCAGACGUGAAAUCCCUCGGCUUAACCGGGGAACUGCAUCUGAUACUGGAUGGCUUGAGAUUGGGAGAGGGAUGCGGAAUUCCAGGUGUAGCGGUGAAAUGCGUAGAUAUCUGGAGGAACACCGGUGGCGAAGGCGGCAUCCUGGACCAACACUGACGCUGAGGAGCGAAAGCCAGGGGAGCAAACGGG
rnacentral:rRNA from 1 species